GUUAUUUUCGUUUUUUUCCGUUAUUAUUUCCGUUCUUUCUGUUAUUUCCGUUAUUUCAGUUAUUUCCGUUGUUGUUCUCGACCUGUCACUUAAAUUUCUGCCGUAUGUUUCUGUCUUUGUGGAGGUUAUUUCCUUUAUUUCCGUUAUUUCCGUUAUUUCCUUUAUUUCCGUUAUUUCUGUUAUUUCAGUUAUUUCCGUUUUUGUUCUUGACUUGUUACUUAAUUUUCUGCCAUAUGUUUCUGUCUCUGCGGAGUUUAUUUCCGUUCUUUCCGUUCUUCCAGUUCUUUCUGUUCUUUCAGUUCUUUCCGUGGUUGUUCUUGACCUGUCACCUAAUUUUCUGCCCUAAGUUUCUGUCUCUGUCGAGGUUAUUUCCGUUAUUUCCGUUAUUUAAGUUAUUUCCGUUGUUGUUCUUGAUCUGUCACCAAAUUGUCUGACGUAUGUUUCUGUAUCUCUAAAGGUUAUUUUCGUUUUUACCGUUAUUAUUUCCGUUCUUUCUGUUAUUUCCGUUGUUUCCGUUAUUUCCGUUGUUGUUCUUGACCUGUCACCUAAUUUUCUGCCAUAUGUUUCUCGCUCUGUGGAGGUUAUUUCCGUUCUUUCCGUUCUUUCCGUAGUUGUUCUUGACCUGUCACCUAAUUUUCUUCCGUAUGUUUUUGUCCCUCUGGAGGUUCUUUCCGUUUUUUCCGUUAUUUCUAUUAUUUCCUUUAUUUUUGUUCUUGACCUGUCACCUAAUUUUUUGCCGUAUGUUUCUGUCUCUGUCAAGGUUCUUUCCGUUCUUUCAGUUGUUAUUCUUGACCUGUCA
rnacentral:lncRNA from 1 species